AAUCAGGGAGGAGCUGUAAGUGGAAUCUGAUGUAAGAAGUCCAUCUGUCACCUGU
rnacentral:ribozyme from 1 species